AACAAGUUACUCUAGAUUUUCGUGUCAAACUCCGUCUUAUAUAGAAUUUUUUUAUAAUUCGUAUUUUCAUUGUUGUUAGAUGAUAAAACAUGAUUAAUAUUUUAUGUGUGACUUGUAUUUUUAAUUUUUUUUAUAAUUUUUUUAAAUAAGACAGACGGUCAAACGUUGGACACGGAAAUUAGGG
rnacentral:pre_miRNA from 1 species